rnacentral:lncRNA from 1 species
UAUAAAAAGUUAUCAGUUUAAAGUAACCAUAAGUCUCCACAAAAUAGAUCUUGAUAAUUUGGUAGGAUUUUUUCAUGAUCAUGACAAAAAUGCAUUCUUAAUCUUUGAUAUUUGUUUGCAUUUGGAUGUUUCUGGUCCUUCAGUUCCCAGAGAAGCUUUUAGGGUUGAAAUACUAUAAAGGCUCAAAUGUAAUAAUUUUGGAUUGAAUCAUAGAAAAUCCAAAAGUAAAUCAUUAGAUAUUCAACAUCACUCAACAAACAACGUGGUCUGGCACAUGAUGACAUUAUGAACUCACAAAUAUGUAACAAUUUCAUUUGGGCCCAGAUCUCUCUAACACAUUGCCUGGUUACGUAUGAAAUAAUUAAAAAUUCCCACUGCUGCCCAGCACCAAAUGUCAUAUGGCUCUGUUUAAAAUGCAUUCAUUGCAUUUCUAAUGAAAUGUUCAGAUUGAUCUAUUGUUGUAUGGCAUUUUUGUUGGCUUAUUUUAAAACAAGUUUGUCC